rnacentral:rRNA from 1 species
GACGAACGCUGGCGGCGUGCCUAAUACAUGCAAGUCGAGCGGACGGAUGGGAGCUUGCUCCCAGACCGUCAGCGGCGGACGGGUGAGUAACACGUGGGCAACCUGCCUGUAAGACUGGGAUAACUCCGGGAAACCGGGGCUAAUACCGGAUAACUCUUUCCCUCACAUGAGGGAAAGCUGAAAGAUGGCAUCUCGCUAUCACUUACAGAUGGGCCCGCGGCGCAUUAGCUAGUUGGUGAGGUAACGGCCCACCAAGGCGACGAUGCGUAGCCGACCGGAGAGGGUGAUCGGCCACACUGGGACUGAGACACGGCCCAGACUCCUACGGGAGGCAGCAGUAGGGAAUCUUCCGCAAUGGACGAAAGUCUGACGGAGCAACGCCGCGUGAGUGAUGAAGGUUUUCGGAUCGUAAAACUCUGUUGUCAGGGAAGAACAAGUACCGGAGUAACUGCCGGUACCUUGACGGUACCUGACCAGAAAGCCACGGCUAACUACGUG